rnacentral:rRNA from 1 species
AGUGAACGCUGGCGGUAGGCCUAACACAUGCAAGUCGAACGGCAGCACAGAGGAGCUUGCUCCUUGGGUGGCGAGUGGCGGACGGGUGAGGAAUACAUCGGAAUCUACUCUGUCGUGGGGGAUAACGUAGGGAAACUUACGCUAAUACCGCAUACGACCUACGGGUGGAAGCAGGGGACCUUCGGGCCUUGCGCGAUUGAAUGAGCCGAUGUCGGAUUAGCUAGUUGGCGGGGUAAAGGCCCACCAAGGCGACGAUCCGUAGCUGGUCUGAGAGGAUGAUCAGCCACACUGGAACUGAGACACGGUCCAGACUCCUACGGGAGGCAGCAGUGGGGAAUAUUGAACAAUGGGCGCAAGCCUGAUCCAGCCAUACCGCGUGGGUGAAGAAGGCCUUCGGGUUGUAAAGCCCUUUUGUUGGGAAAGAAAUCCAUCUGGUUAAUACCCGGGUGGGAUGACGGUACCCAAAGAAUAAGCACCGGCUAACUUCGUGCCAGCCGCCGCCGUAA